rnacentral:lncRNA from 1 species
UCUGUUCUAUUGAAUUUGUUUUGGAUUUGUUUAGUUGUUUGGUUUUGGUGGUUUUUUUGGGGUUUUUUUUGGAGGGGGUUACUGUAAGAUGAACAAUACUUAUUUUAUAUCAUUCUCCCUGAGAAAAAUCUCUGCUGUCUUACCAGUUUCCCAAAUUUCUACAGCUUUCAGUCUCAUGGUGAAAGAUGGGACUUGGAAGGGAAGAACUUCCUCUAUAGCCAGGUUGGCCUCUCAAGCCUGCAGUCCCUUCCUCCCCAGCACCAAAGAAGGAUUGGUGCUCCAUAAUGCAUGCUCUUCCUUCCCUGGGGAACCUCAACAAGCACUACUCUGGUUGUUUACAUUCCUGGCUUUCGCCUAGUUUUCCAGGUUAUCAAGAUUUCUGUCAGGUAGGAUAUUACUUUUUUUCUGCUCCCUGCUCUCCACACAAUUAUCUAAAGUGCUUUGUAUUUUCCCACACAGGGCCCUCUUCUGAUCCCCUCUAAACAGGUUUUAAGAUGCCAGCUUUAAUGGAGUUACUUCUGAUUUAGUUCACUUUGGCAAGGAAUCACUCCAUGACCCUCCACAGGAUUUGUUGCGUAUCAA